rnacentral:lncRNA from 1 species
GCCGCGUCGCCUUCCACAGCGUGGAAGCUUUGUUCUUUUGCUCUUUGCAAUAAAUCUUGCUGCUGCUCACCCUUUGGGUUUGCACUGCUUUUAUGAGCUGUAACACUCACCGCAAAGGUCUGCAGCUUCACUCCUGAGGCCAGCGAGACCAUGAACCCACAGGGAGGAAUGAACAACUCUGGAGGGGAGAAACAAACAACUCCACACGUGCUGCCUUAGGAGCUGUAACACUCACCGCAAAGGUCUGCAGCUUCACUCCUGAAGCCAGCGAGACCACAAACCCACCAGAAGGAAGCAACUCCGAACAUCAGAAGGAACAAAGUCCGGACACAACAUCUUUAAGAACUGUAACACUCACCACGAGGGUCCGCAGCUUCAUUCUUGAAGUCAGUGAGACCAACAACCCACCAAUUCCAGACACACUCUGAGUGCUGGCUUCAAAGAGGAGAAAGCUUUAGUGCCAUACAAAAGGGACCUGAUUGCCAAUGGCUGAGUGGAGGAUUCCCGGUGCCAGUAGGCAUUUCUGUUGUUGUUUCUGCUGGAGGAAAAUAUGGGGAAAGAGAGUGGAUGGCAAACACAGCGAAGCCUCUAGAUUUGGAGUAAUACACAUCAUGUUUUGUGACUUCUUAUGGAAAUGCUGAUGUUGAAAUAAUCUUUAUGAAGGAGAAAAAAAUAGUUUGUUUAUACUGUCUUCAUGAAAUAAGAAUUUAAAAUACCAACACUUGCAACCUGGAGGCUUUGAUGGAUUGAACAUUUUGACUAGAUAGUUUGUCUCUCAAGAUAUCGUACUGAUAGAAAAAUAAUGUAGAACAUGAUCUAAUGGAACUAAUAUUUAAAACUAUCUGCCUAAAAGAAAACAUUAGGUAUUAUUUCUCAUCUGAGCUGAUCUUUUACAAGAAGAAGAAGGGGAAGGGGAAGAGAAGGAGGAGGAAGAGGAAGGAGGGGGAAGAGGAAGGAGAAAAAGAAGCAGGGGUGGAAAGAGCUGCAGCAGCAGGAGCAGGAGCAGGAGCAGCAGCGCCACUGCCACAACCACCACCACCAAAACAACAAAGGGGAAGCAAAAGAAGGUGGAAGAGGAGGUGAAGAGAAGCACAAGCAGAAAAAGAAGGAGAAAGAAAUCCAUCAAAUUGAAAUCCUUUUGCUUACAGGAAGUUAUUCCUGAGGGCACUCUCUUUUUUUAUUCAACCAGCAUUCAUUGAACAUCUAACAUCUUGAAGAAGACAUGGUUCUUGCUGAGAGCUACUGCAAACAAAAAAACAGGUAGCAUAGAGCUGAAAAAGUGUUUGCAAUCUGUACACACUGAGAAAUUCCCUGAGCUGCAUCCUGACAAAUGUCAUCCACUUAAAUACUUCUAAUAAACAAGAAUUGACUACCU